AAUAAGUGUUUAUGGCACUUCUUAAAUCCAUAUCCACCUUGUGUGCAAUGUCAGUCGGUUUCUUCAUGGAAUCGGCCAAACAUCAACUUUAUUUUUUAACUGUCUAUCUGAAAACUAUUAUGAAUAAAACAAUUCAAAUACAACUUUCAACAACGGAUCUCUUGGCUCU
rnacentral:misc_RNA from 1 species